UACGAACGCUGGCGGCGUGCUUAACACAUGCCAGUCGAACGGAAAGGCCCUGCUUUUGUGGGGUGCUCGAGUGGCGAACGGGUGAGUAACACGUGAGUAACCUGCCCUUGACUUUGGGAUAACUUCAGGAAACUGGGGCUAAUACCGGAUAGGAGCUCCUGCUGCAUGGUGGGGGUUGGAAAGUUUCGGCGGUUGGGGAUGGACUCGCGGCUUAUCAGCUUGUUGGUGGGGUAGUGGCUUACCAAGGCUUUGACGGGUAGCCGGCCUGAGAGGGUGACCGGCCACAUUGGGACUGAGAUACGGCCCAGACUCCUACGGGAGGCAGCAGUGGGGAAUAUUGCACAAUGGGCGGAAGCCUGAUGCAGCAACGCCGCGUGCGGGAUGACGGCCUUCGGGUUGUAAACCGCUUUCGCCUGUGACGAAGCGUGAGUGACGGUAAUGGGUAAAGAAGCACCGGCUAACUACGUG
rnacentral:rRNA from 1 species